CCGUCGAUAGCUCAGUUGGUAGAGCAGUGGACUGUAGAUCCAUAGGUCGCUGGUUCGAAUCCGGCUCGACGGA
rnacentral:tRNA from 1 species